rnacentral:rRNA from 1 species
AACGAACGCUGGCGGCAUGCCUAACACAUGCAAGUCGAACGAGACCUUCGGGUCUAGUGGCGCACGGGUGCGUAACGCGUGGGAACCUGCCCUUAGGUUCGGAAUAACUCAGAGAAAUUUGAGCUAAUACCGGAUAAUGUCUUCGGACCAAAGAUUUAUCGCCUUUGGAUGGGCCCGCGUAGGAUUAGCUUGUUGGUGGGGUAAUGGCCUACCAAGGCGACGAUCCUUAGCUGGUCUGAGAGGAUGAUCAGCCACACUGGGACUGAGACACGGCCCAGACUCCUACGGGAGGCAGCAGUGGGGAAUAUUGGACAAUGGGCGAAAGCCUGAUCCAGCCAUGCCGCGUGAGUGAUGAAGGCCUUAGGGUUGUAAAGCUCUUUUACCAGGGAUGAUAAUGACAGUACCUGGAGAAUAAGCUCCGGCUAACUCCGUG